rnacentral:rRNA from 1 species
UACGUAGGGUGCGAGCGUUGUCCGGAAUUAUUGGGCGUAAAGAGCUCGUAGGCGGUGUGUCACGUCGGCCGUGAAAACCUGGGGCUUAACUCUGGGCGUGCGGUCGAUACGGGCAUCACUAGAGUUCGGCAGGGGAGACUGGAAUUCCUGGUGUAGCGGUGAAAUGCGCAGAUAUCAGGAGGAACACCGAUGGCGAAGGCAGGUCUCUGGGCCACUACUGACGCUGAGAAGCGAAAGCAUGGGGAGCGAACAGG